GGCAUUUUGGCCGAAGACCCGAAAUGAAGACAGGAUAUUCUGUUACACACUGACAGCAACAUAUUCAAAAACCGACUGAGUUAGUCGAGUUAGAGAAACUGAGUUGGAGAAAUGCAAGCUGUCACCUUAUUGGACAUCAUGUGAAUAACCAGCCCACUGGACUGUCACUCCUAAGCACCUGCUGUGCUUUUUUCUGGUCUCGGUGCACCACACCUACGUCGUGCAUGUGGCUCACAGCGGACACAAGCCUUCGCAUGAUGCGACUUGCCUCCGUCUCACUGAAGUGCUGCUUCCUCCGGAUGCGCUCCAGGAGCUCUCCGCCAUGCAGAAGCUCCAGAACCAGAUAUAAUUCCAUCUGCUGCUACCACCAGCAGUUACAUCAUCAAUGCAGACCAGUGAGCCAGUUCCAGAGGCAACCAUGCAUGCCCAAGCCAUGAGCUUCUUUUAUGCUUUAUAAAUGAAAGGUUGUCUUUGAGGAAGUUCAAUGCCAAGUACCAUUUGCAAUAAAGCAGCCCUAUAUCAUGAUGCUGAAAACUCAUCCAAACAUGACAGGCUGAAUUUUGUGCCGAGUGCCCAGAGUUCAGUGUUAACGGAAUUUCUCUGAAUAUCGGUGUGCAAAUCUGUGCUUCAAUUUAGCAUAAGAGAAUAAUGAAGAUU